ACACUCCUGCGGGAGGCAGCAGUGGGGAAUUUUGAACAAUGGGCGAAAGCCUGAUCCAGCCAUGCCGCGUGCAGGAUGAAGGCCUUCGGGUUGUAAACUGCUUUUGUACGGAACGAAACGGCCUUUUCUAAUAAAGAGGGCUAAUGACGGUACCGUAAGAAUAAGCACCGGCUAACUACGUGCCAGCAGCCGCGGUAAUACGUAGGGUGCAAGCGUUAAUCGGAAUUACUGGGCGUAAAGCGUGCGCAGGCGGUUAUGUAAGACAGUUGUGAAAUCCCCGGGCUCAACCUGGGAACUGCAUCUGUGACUGCAUAGCUAGAGUACGGUAGAGGGGGAUGGAAUUCCGCGUGUAGCAGUGAAAUGCGUAGAUAUGCGGAGGAACACCGAUGGCGAAGGCAAUCCCCUGGACCUGUACUGACGCUCAUGCACGAAAGCGUGGGGAGCAAACAGGAUUAGAUACCCUAGUAGUCCC
rnacentral:rRNA from 1 species